UACGAAGGGUGCAAGCGUUACUCGGAAUUACUGGGCGUAAAGCGUGCGUAGGUGGUUCGUUAAGUCUGAUGUGAAAGCCCUGGGCUCAACCUGGGAAUGGCAUUGGAAACUGGCGACCUAGAGUGCGGUAGAGGGUAGUGGAAUUCCCGGUGUAGCAGUGAAAUGCGUAGAGAUCGGGAGGAACAUCAGUGGCGAAGGCGGCCCUCUGGACCAGCACUGACGCUGAGGCACGAAAGCGUGGGGAGCAAACAGG
rnacentral:rRNA from 1 species